rnacentral:rRNA from 1 species
AGUGAACGCUGGCGGCAGGCCUAACACAUGCAAGUCGAACGGCAGCACAGGAGAGCUUGCUCUCUGGGUGGCGAGUGGCGGACGGGUGAGGAAUACAUCGGAAUCUACCUUGUCGUGGGGGAUAACGUAGGGAAACUUACGCUAAUACCGCAUACGACCUUCGGGUGAAAGCAGGGGACCUUCGGGCCUUGCGCGAUUAGAUGAGCCGAUGUCGGAUUAGCUAGUUGGCGGGGUAAAGGCCCACCAAGGCGACGAUCCGUAGCUGGUCUGAGAGGAUGAUCAGCCACACUGGAACUGAGACACGGUCCAGACUCCUACGGGAGGCAGCAGUGGGGAAUAUUGGACAAUGGGCGCAAGCCUGAUCCAGCCAUGCCGCGUGGGUGAAGAAGGCCUUCGGGUUGUAAAGCCCUUUUGUUGGGAAAGAAAAGCAGGCGGCCAAUACCCGAUUGUUCUGACGGUACCCAAAGAAUAAGCACCGGCUAACUUCGUGCCAGCAGCCGCCGCAGUAA